CACUAAGCGCAAACCAGUGUUAAGCCAUAGUUGUGAGAGUGUUGUACUGGUGUAAAGGUGUGGCUGAAUCAGGUGUGAGAGUGUUGGGCUGGAGUAAAGGUGUGGCUGAAUCAGGUGUGAGAGUGUUGGGCUGGUGUGAAGGUGUGGCUGAAUCAGGUUAUAGAGUGUUGGGCUGGUGUAAAGGUGUGGCUGAAUCAGGUGUGAGAUUAUUGGGCUGGUGUAAAGGUGUGGCUGAAUCAGGUGUGAGAUUAUUGGGCUGUGUAAAGGUGUGGCUGAAUCAGGUGUGAGAGUGUUGGGCUGGAGUAAAGGUGUGGCUGAAUCAGGUGUGAGAGUGUUGGGCUGGAGUAAAGGUGUGGCUGAAUCAGGUAUGAGAGUGUUGGGCUGGUGUAAAGGUGUGGCUGAAUCAGGUGUGAGAGUGUUGGGCUGGUGUGAAGGUGUGGCUGAAUCAGGUGUGAGAGUGUUGGGCUGGUGUAAAGGUGUGGCUGAAUCAGGUGUGAGAUUAUUGGGCUGGUGUAAAGGUGUGGCUGAAUCAGGUGUGAGAGUGUUGGGCUGGAGUAAAGGUGUGGCUGAAUCAGGUGUGAGAGUGUUGGGCUGGAGUAAAGGUGUGGCUGAAUCAGGUAUGAGAGUGUUGGGCUGGUGUAAAG
ensembl:lncRNA